GUAGAGCAAUAUUGAUGUGCUUAGAAGGGCUGUUAUGUGUAACCCAGCAUAGAACCUUGAUGUGCUUAGUUAGGGUUUUGCAGAAUCUUGUUCUUUGGGGUAAAUCUUGAUGUGUUUGGGAAAGGCUUUCUGUGAUAUUAGGUAAAGUAUUUGAGUGAGUGAGUGAGUGAGUGAGUG